AACUUUCAACAACGGAUCUCUUGGCUCUCGCAUCGAUGAAGAACGCAGCGAAAUGCGAUAAGUAAUGUGAAAUGCAGAAUUCAGUGAAUCAUCGAAUCUUUGAACGCACCUUGCGCUCUUUGGUAUUCCGAAGAGCAUGCCUGUUUGAGUGUCA
rnacentral:rRNA from 1 species